UACGUAGGGUGCAAGCGUUGUCCGGAAUUAUUGGGCGUAAAGGGCUCGUAGGCGGUCCAUCGCGUCGGGAGUGAAAAGCUGGGGCUUAACCCCAGUCCUGCUUCCGAUACGGGUGGACUAGAGGUAGGCAGGGGAGAACGGAAUUCCUGGUGUAGCGGUGAAAUGACGUAGAUAUCGUAAGGAAGACCAGUGGCGAAGGCGGGAUCUCUGGACAGUUCCUGACGCUGAGGCACGAAGGCCAG
rnacentral:rRNA from 1 species